rnacentral:tRNA from 1 species
GCCUAGGUGGCUCAGUCGGUUAAGCAUCUGACUUCGGCUCAGCUCAUGAUCUCACAGUUCGUGGGUUUGAGCCCCACAUCAGGCU